rnacentral:rRNA from 1 species
GUCUACAGGCAUGCCACCCUGAACAGGCCCGAUCUUAUCUGAUCUCAGAAGCUAAGCAGGGUCGGGCCUGGUUAUACUUGGAUGGGAAACCAAAUGGCUGGCGGAGGAAGCAGUGAGUG